AAAAGCAAAACAAAUAAACAUUUUUUAAAAAGGCGUUCCCUGAGUUCCCGUCAGCCCCCAAAAAAGAACAAACCAAACCAAUCAAAACCCAAAUGUAAUAACGUAUAGCAUCCUAUAUGGAAUCCCGGAAAAGAGAAAGGGCAAUGAAAUCUGAAUAAAGUAUACAAUUAAGUCAAUAAUGAUGUAUCAAUAUUGAUUCCUUACUUGUGACAAAUAUAUAAGACAUUAACAACAGGAAACUGGGUAGAGUACAAGAACCCUCUAAACUACCUAAAAGUUCCCUGUAAGUCUAAAAAGUAAUUAAAGAAAAGAAUGAACUGUAAAAGGAACGGAUGGAGCAAAAACUAGUCAUAAAAUUAAAGUCCAGGAGAUAAUGAUAUAUAAAAGCAUUUAGAAUAAUAUGGUAGCAGGGAAGAUGGAGAAGAAAAAGAUGGAUUCAAGGUACAUUCUGAAGACAGAAUAAAGAGAACUUGGACUUCCAACUAAUGCAGAAUAAAGAAGUCAGCAAAUCCUUCCUCCCAAAAAUAUGAAUAAAACUGGACGAAUUGCCAAAAAUAACUAUUUCAGGGAUUUGGAAGUUGCCAAAAGAUAAACAACAAAUUGAGAAGUACUUAUUCAUGGAAAACUACCAGAACCUCAGGUAAAGCAGUGAGAGUCAGCAAAUUCCCAACACUAGGCCAGCUUGGGCUGCCUAAGAACAUUCAACAGGGAGUUCCCGUCGUGGCGCAGUGGUUAACGAAUCCGACUAGGAACCAUGAGGUUGCGGGUUCGGUCCCUGCCCUUGCUCAUUGGGUUAACGAUCUGGCAUUGCCGCGAGCUGUGGUGUAGGUUGCAGACGCGGCUCGGAUCCCGCGUUGCUGUGGCUCUGGCGUAGGCCGGUGGCUACAGCUCCAAUUCAACCCCUAGCCUGGGAACCUCCAUAUGCCGUGGGAGCGGCCCAAGAAAUAGCAACAACAACAGACAAAAAGACAAAAAAANAAAAAAAAAAAAAAAAGAACAUUCAACAGAGCAGAACUGGCCUUGAAAUACACCAACUCUGUUAGAGGGGCUGACUUCAUUUAUAUAAAAGAUAAAAAGCCCACAUCGAAUGACACCGUCAAUAAAAGGAAAAACAUAGGGUAAAAAUCAAUGGGAAAGGAGGUUUUUUUGGUGGCGAGUUAAGGAUCUGGCAUUGUCACUGCCGGAGCUUGGGUUGCUACUGUGGUGCAGGUCCAAUACCUGGCCUGGGAACUUCCACAUGCCAUGGGUGUAGCCAAAAAACUUCUUUAAUUUAAAAAAAAAGAAUGAGGAAAACCAGUAGCUUUGCUAGGAGGAGGAGGAAAGUAUCUCAUUUGGGGGCAGACCAGCUAAAAAUUUAGGGAAGAUCUUGUUUUUUGUUUUUUGUUUUCAUUUUUGGCUGCCCCACAGCAUACGGAAUUCCCAGGCCAGGGAUCAGAUCUGAGCUGCAGUUGCAACCUAAACCACAGCUUUGGCAGUGCCAGAUCCUUAACCCACUGUGCCAGGCCAGGGAUCAAACCUAUGAUCCUAAUGCUCCCAAGACGCCAUCAAUACUGUUGUGCCACAGCAGGAACUUCUUAGGGAAGAUCUUUAAAAUGAGAGCUGCAGAAGUGCUAUAUGGACUCUUGACAAUUCUUGGCUGACUAGGAAACUGUGGGCAUGUGCAGAUGGAAGAAACCCAAGAGGGCCAGGUACAAAGUAAAAUUUAAGGUACAUUUGGAUAUUGCCUUAAAUUUGUGCUUUCUAAUUCACAUACAUCCACCAGAAGAUGGUCAAAGCCUUAUGGGCUUGAGGUAUUUGAGGGCAGCUCUGCCCAAUCACUAACUGACUACCAAACUAUAUGGCCAAAGGGCAACGCCCAGGAAGCCUGGUUUAAAAAUACAAACAGAAAGGAGUUCCCAUCGUGGUUGCAGGUUCGAUCCAUGGCCUUGCUCAGUGGGUUAAAGAUCUGGCAUUGCCAUGAGCUGUGGUAUAGGUGGCAGAUGUGGCUCAGAUCUGGCACUGCUGUGGCUGUGGCCGGCAGCUGUAGCUCUGAUUGGACCCCUAGCCUGGGAAAGCACCAUAUGUUGAGGUGUGGCUAUAAAAAGCAAAAAAAAAAAAAAA
rnacentral:lncRNA from 1 species